UUGGAGGGCAAGUCUGGUGCCAGCAGCCGCGGUAAUUCCAGCUCCAAUAGCGUAUAUUAAAGUUGUUGCAGUUAAAAAGCUCGUAGUUGAAUUUCGGGAUCAAGGGAUCGGUCAUGCCUUGGUAUGUACUGGUCUUAUUGGUUCUCACCUUCUAAAGAACCAUGAUGUCAUUCAUUUGAUGUUAUGGGGAAUUAGGACUGUUACCUUGAAAAAAUUAGAGUGUUUAAAGCAAGCUUACGCUUGAAUACAUUGGCAUGGAAUAAUGAAAUAGGACAUCAGAUUCUAUUUUGUUGGUUUCUAGGAUCGAUGUAAUGAUUAAUAGGGAUAGUUGGGGGCAUUAGUAUUCAAUUGUCAGAGGUGAAAUUCUUGGAUUUAUUGAAGACUAACUACUGCGAAAGCAUUUGCCAAGGAUGUUUUCAUUAAUCAAGAACGAAAGUUAGGGGAUCGAAGACGAUCAGAUACCGUCGUAGUCUUAACCAUAAACUAUGCCGACUAGGGAUCGGAUGAUGUUAAUUUUUUAAUGACUCAUUCGGCACCUUACGGAAACCAAAGUGUUUGGGUUC
rnacentral:rRNA from 1 species